GUGGCAUGUUCCCCGACCAGGGAUUGAACCUGCGCCCCCUGCAUCGGAAACUUGGAGUCUUAACCACUGGACCGCGAGGGAAGUCCCUGUAUCAUAUUUUAGAUUUCACAUGGAUGAGGAAACAGAGGCAGAGAGGCUCUUACACCUCACAGAGGUGACUCCCUUUGGUGAAAGAACUACUGAGCAGGGAGGUGAGCCCAGGCAUUAUUACCUCCAGAGCAUGUGCUUUGUCCACCACGACACAGCACUUCCCAGGGAGGCUGGUUCAUUAAGGGAACCUUGACAUUCUGCAUCUACAAAUGAGUCUUGUCUGAAAGGUCUGCUUUAAUGCAAGACACUCACUGUCUCUGGAAAGAUCUGGGGAUGGAAAAAUCUG